GGGCUGAUGGCGGAAUUGGCAGACGCGUACGCUUCAGGAGCGUAUGAUCGAAAGAUCUUGGAGGUUCGACUCCUCUUCAGCCCA
rnacentral:tRNA from 1 species